rnacentral:rRNA from 1 species
UACGGGGGGAGCAAGCGUUGUUCGGAUUUACUGGGCGUAAAGGGCGCGUAGGCGGCCACCGCAAGUCGACUGUGAAAUCUCCGGGCUUAACCCGGAAAGGUCAGCCGAUACUGCGGGGCUAGAGUGCAGAAGGGGCAACUGGAAUUCUCGGUGUAGCGGUGAAAUGCGUAGAUAUCGGGAGGAACACCUGAGGCGAAGGCGGGCUACUGGGCCGAUACUGACGCUGAUGCGCGAAAGCCAGGGGAGCGAACGG